rnacentral:rRNA from 1 species
AACGUAGGAGACAACCGUUAUCCGGAGUUACUGGGCGUAAAGGGCGUGCAGGCGGUCGACUAAGUCUGGCGUGAAAGCUCUCGGCUAAACCGGGAGAGGUCGUUGGAUACUGGUUGACUAGAGGACGGUAGAGGCGUGUGGAAUUCCUGGUGUAGCGGUGAAAUGCGCAGAUAUCAGGAAGAACACCCGUGGCGAAGGCGGCUCUCUGGGACGGUACUGACGCUGAGACGCGAAAGCGUGGGGAGCGAACAGG